rnacentral:rRNA from 1 species
AAGCGCUUGCAACCAGACUUGCGCGUGGCCGAUCAUCCUGUGCUCGCACGGGUGCACUCGGCCGCGCGCAGGCCAGCAUCGGUUUGGGUGGCUGGAUAAAGGCCUUGGGAAUGUAGCUUCUUUCGGGGAGUGUUAUAGCCCUCGGUGCAAUGCCGCCUACCUAGACCGAGGACCGCGCUUCGGCUAGGAUGCUGGCGUAAUGGUUGUAAGCGA